rnacentral:rRNA from 1 species
UACGUAGGGUCCAAGCGUUGUUCGGAAUUACUGGGCGUAAAGCGCGUGUAGGCUGCUUCGCAAGUCGGGUGUGAAAGCCCUGGGCUCAACCUAGGAAGUGCACUCGAAACUGCGAAGCUUGAGUCCUGGAGAGGAAGGCGGAAUUCUCGGUGUAGAGGUGAAAUUCGUAGAUAUCGAGAGGAACACCGGUGGCGAAGGCGGCCUUCUGGACAGUGACUGACGCUGAGACGCGAAAGCCAGGGGAGCAAACGGG